UACGUAGGGCGCAAGCGUUGUCCGGAAUUAUUGGGCGGUAAAGAGCGUGGUAGGCGGCUAGACAGGUCUGCUGUGAAAACUCGAGGCUCAACCUCGAGAUGUCGGCGGAAACCGUCUGGCUAGAGUCCGGAAGAGGAGAGUGGAAUUCCUGGUGUAGCGGUGAAAUGCGCAGAUAUCAGGAAGAACACCUAUGCGAAGGCAGCUCUCUGGGACGUAUCUGACGCUGAGAGCGAAAGCGUGGGGAGCGAACAGG
rnacentral:rRNA from 1 species